AGAGAGAGACAUGCGCGCAUAUCAAUAAGCGGAGGAAAAGAAACUAACAAGGAUUCCCUUAGUAACGGCGAGUGAAGCGGGAAGAGCUCAAAUUUGAAAUCUUCAAGGUUUUACCUUGACGAAUUGUAGUUUAAAGAAGUGUUUUCUGCUGAAGUUUUGGUAAAAGUUCUUUGGAAUAGGACAUCAUAGAGGGUGAGAAUCCCGUAUUUGACCAUUAUUUUCAGCUUUGUGAUACACUUUCAAAGAGUCGGAUUGUUUGGGAAUGCAGUCCAAAAUGGGUGGUAAAUUUCAUCUAAAGCUAAAUAUUGGCGAGAGACCGAUAGCGAACAAGUACCGUGAGGGAAAGAUGAAAAGAACUUUGAAAAGAGAGUUAAACAGUACGUGAAAUUGUCAAAAGGGAAGCGUUUGACACCAGUGUUGUUUUCUCGAAAAUCAAUUAAAAAUGGCUCGAUUUUGUAUUGCUUGAGACCUUAAAAGCUCACUGUACAUUUUUCGUGUCUUUUUUAAUGCACCUUUCGUUUAACAAGUCAACAUCAGUUUCUUUUGUUGUAAAAGGGUCAUUGGAAGGUGGCUUUCUUUUCGGAGAAAGUGUUUAUAGCCUUUGGCCUCUGCAAUCGGAGAGACUGAGGUCUGCAGCGUAGACUCUUCGGGGUUAGAUACAUUUGUGCUAAGUUAUAGCUUUUUAUAGACAACUUGUUGACUAUAAUUAGUCUUGUAGCUUACUCGCUUAUGCUAUUUUACCUACGCUUAGGAUGUUGAAGAUGUAGCACAUCAU
rnacentral:rRNA from 1 species